rnacentral:rRNA from 1 species
GAUGAACGCUGGCGGCGUGCCUAAUACAUGCAAGUCGAGCGAACAGACGAGGAGCUUGCUCCUCUGACGUUAGCGGCGGACGGGUGAGUAACACGUGGAUAACCUACCUAUAAGACUGGGAUAACUUCGGGAAACCGGAGCUAAUACCGGAUAAUAUAUUGAACCGCAUGGUUCAAUAGUGAAAGACGGUUUUGCUGUCACUUAUAUAUGGAUCCGCGCCGCAUUAGCUAGUUGGUAAGGUAACGGCUUACCAAGGCGACGAUGCGUAGCCGACCUGAGAGGGGGAUCGGCCACCCUGGAACUGAGACACGGUCAAGACUACGACGGGAGGCAGCAGUAGGGAAUCUUACGCAAUGGGCGAGAGCCUGACAGAGCAACGCCGAGUGAGUGACGAAGGUCUUCGGAUCGUAAAACUCUGUUAUUAGGGAAGAACAAAUGUGUAAGGAAAUAUGCACGUCUUGACGGUACCUAAUAAGAAAGCAACGGCUAACUACGUG